ACUCGCGGACGAUCUCUGCUCGCCUUGGGCGCGCCGUGGCGCGCGGGGCCGUGCUGGCGCUGCGGCUCCUCGGCCUGCUCCGCCGUCUGGUGGCCGCCCCGGGCUGACUUUGACUUAGCGAUGCCUUUCCUGAUGGAGGAAACAGUGACCCAGCACCACCUAAUGCCCCCAAACCAAAGCCAGAUCCAAACCCCAACCGACCUGGUUUCACUGGGGCUGACUUUGACUUAGCAGAUGCCUUUCGUGAUGGAGGAAAUAACGACCCAGCACCUCUUAAUUCACCCAAGCUGAAGCCAAAUGCGAACCCUGAGCAGCCUGGAUUCAUUGGGGAUGACUUUGACUUAGCAGAUGCCUUACAUGACAAAGGAAACUACGAGCCAGCACCACUGAACCCACCCAAACCAAAGCCAAAUCCAAACCCCAAGCAGCCUGAUUCCACCGGGGAUGACUUUGAUUUCACAGAUGUUUCUUCAUGGUGAACGAAACAGCACCCUGGGACCAUCCUGGCUGGAAGGCAUAGUGACAUUGCUGGCCUGAGCUGAAGUGCCGAUUAAAAUAAAUUGAAAGCUGAAUUACCUUAUGAACAGCUGCUUUACCCAGGAACAAAUGUGGAGAGGAACUCCUUGAAACUGUGUUCUCAAGUAGACCACUUUUGAGAAAUUAUACAUUUAUCAUAACAUCUCAAGUCCUGCUCUACAUAGAAUGACCAUUAUUAUCAAGAAAAGUUCUCCAUUCCCUGUAAUUCAUAAGGCAAUGCAGGCCUAACCAGAAAACAGGAACUGCGACAACCUUGCAUCAGACACAUUCGAUCUCUCUAUUCAUAGUUGCAUUCUCUUUUUUUUUGUUUACAAAGCCAAUCACCAAUAACUCGGAAAACAAAAACAAAAAAAAAAAAAUGAACACAUUGUU
ensembl:lncRNA CD99P1 CD99 molecule pseudogene 1